ACACAGGUCUCUGCGAAGCCGUAAGGCGAAGUAUAGGGGCUGACGCCUGCCCGGUGCUGGAAGGUUAAGAGGAGCGCUUAGCGUAAGCGAAGGUGCGAAUUGAAGCCCCAGUAAACGGCGGCCGUAACUAUAACGGUCCUAAGGUAGCGAAAUUCCUUGUCGGGUAAGUUCCGACCCGCACGAAAGGCGCAACGAUCUGGGCACUGUCUCAACGAGAGACUCGGUGAAAUUAUAGUACCUGUGAAGAUGCAGGUUACCCGCGACAGGACGGAAAGACCCCGUGGAGCUUUACUGCAGCCUGAUAUUGAAUGUUGGUACAGCUUGUACAGGAUAGGUAGGAACCUUGGAAACCGGAGCGCCAGCUUCGGU
rnacentral:rRNA from 1 species